AUGAACCACUUCGGUGGGGAUUAGUGGCGAACGGGUGAGUAACACGUGGGCAAUCUGCCCUGCACUCUGGGACAAGCCCUGGAAACGGGGUCUAAUACCGGAUACUGACCCUCACGGGCAUCUGUGAGGUUCGAAAGCUCCGGCGGUGCAGGAUGAGCCCGCGGCCUAUCAGCUUGUUGGUGAGGUAAUGGCUCACCAAGGCGACGACGGGUAGCCGGCCUGAGAGGGCGACCGGCCACACUGGGACUGAGACACGGCCCAGACUCCUACGGGAGGCAGCAGUGGGGAAUAUUGCACAAUGGGCGAAAGCCUGAUGCAGCGACGCCGCGUGAGGGAUGACGGCCUUCGGGUUGUAAACCUCUUUCAGCAGGGAAGAAGCGAAAGUGACGGUACCUGCAGAAGAAGCGCCGGCUAACUACGUGCCAGCAGCCGCGGUAAUACGUAGGGCGCGAGCGUUGUCCGGAAUUAUUGGGCGUAAAGAGCUCGUAGGCGGCUUGUCACGUCGGUUGUGAAAGCCCGGGGCUUAACCCCGGGUCUGCAGUCGAUACGGGCAGGCUAGAGUUCGGUAGGGGAGAUCGGAAUUCCUGGUGUAGCGGUGAAAUGCGCAGAUAUCAGGAGGAACACCGGUGGCGAAGGCGGAUCUCUGGGCCGAUACUGACGCUGAGGAGCGAAAGCGUGGGGAGCGAACAGGAUUAGAUACCCUGGUAGUCCACGCCGUAAACGGUGGGCACUAGGUGUGGGCAACAUUCCACGUUGUCCGUGCCGCAGCUAACGCAUUAAGUGCCCCG
rnacentral:rRNA from 1 species